rnacentral:rRNA from 1 species
GACCUUCGGGCCUGCCGCUUGGGGAUGAGCCCGUGUCCUAUCAGCUUGUUGGUGAGGUAAUGGCUCACCAAGGCUUACGGGUAGCUGGUCUGAGAGGAUGGUCAGCCACACUGGGACUGAGACACUGCCCAGACUCCUACGGGAGGCUGCAGUCGAGAAUCAUUGUCAAUGCGCGAAAGCGUGAACAUGCGACGCCGCGUGGAGGAUGAAGGCCUUCGGGUUGUAAACUCCUGUAGUCAGGGAGCAAUCGUCGGUGGGUGAAUACCCCAUCGGCCUGAUCGUACCUGAACAGUAAGCCACGGCUAACUCUGUGCCAGCAGCCGCGGUAAUACAGAGGUGGCAAGCGUUGUUCGGAUUUACUGGGCGUAAAGGGUGCGUAGGCGGUUGCGUGUGUCGGAUGUGAAAUCUCACUGUUCAUCGGUGAAACUGCAUUCGAAACUACGUAACUCGAGUACUGGAGGGGAGAGCGGAAUUCUUGGUGUAGCGGUGAAAUGCGUUGAGAUCAAGAAGAACGCCGGUGGCGAAGGCGGCUCUCUGGACAGAAACUGACGCUGAGGCACGAAAGCUAGGGGAGCAAACAGGAUUAGAUACCCUGGUAGUCCUAGCCGUAAACGUUGUGCACUUGGUGUGGGAGGAGUUUACCCCUUCCGUGCCGUAGCUAACGUGUUAAGUGCACCGCCUGGGGAGUACGGCCGCAAGGCUAAAACUCAAAGAAAUUGACGGGGGCCCGCACAAGCGGUGGAGCAUGUGGCUUAAUUCGAUGCAACGCGAAGAACCUUACCUGGGCUUGACAUGGCGAGACUUCGGUCUAAACCGGUGAAAGUCGGUUGAACGCACACAGGUGCUGCAUGGCUGUCGUCAGCUCGUGCCGUGAGGUGUUGGGUUAAGUCCCGCAACGAGCGCAACCCUUGUGGGUAGUUGCCACCCCCGUUCUGCGGGGAGCACUCUACUCAGACUGCCCGUGACAAGCGGGAGCCCGGUGGGGAUGACGUCAAGUCCGUAUGGCCCUUAUGCCCAGGGCUGCACACGUGCUACAAUGGUCGGUACAGAAAGAUGCAAGACCGCGAGGUGGAGCAAAUCUCCAAAACCGGCCCCAGUUCGGAUUGCAGUCUGCAACUCGACUGCAUGAAGCCGGAAUCGCUAGUAA